GGCUGGUCCGAUGGUAGUGGGUUAUCAGAACUUAUUAACAUUAGUGUCACUAAAGUUGGUGUUCAACCCCGCACUGCUAAAUUUGACUGGCUUUAA
ensembl:misc_RNA Y_RNA Y RNA